rnacentral:rRNA from 1 species
GCCAAGUCGUGAGGCGGAGCUAAUCCCUUAAAGCCAUUCUCAGUUCGGAUUGUAGGCUGAAACUCGCCUACAUGAAGCUGGAGUUACUAGUAAUCGCAGAUCAGAAUGCUGCGGUGAAUGCGUUCCCGGGUCUUGUACACACCGCCCGUCACACCACGGAGGUUGGGGGCGCCCGAAGCCACUUAGCUAACCCUUUUGGGAAGCGAGUGUCGAAGGUGAAAUCAAUAACUGGGGUGAAGUCGUAACAAGGUAGC